CAGUUGUUCUCCAGUUCAUCUUGCAGUUUCACCAACUGCUGGAACACUGAAAAAGAAAUAAUAACAACAAUAAAAAAAAACCCUAAUGGGUUUUCCAUAUGCUGCUCUGACCCAAAUGUUUGAAAAGAUUCAGACAUUCUGAAUCUGUGUGCUCCGCUUGGGGAAGAUGCAGCUCUUCUAUGUUCUGCCGAGCUAAAAAUGGUUAAGUUAGAAAUCUCCCCCCUCCUUUUAAUCAAUUUUAUUUUCUCUACCAUCUAUCAUUCAUAGGCCUUCUUUGUCUUACCGGUAGUACAAAAUAUCUGAAAGGUGCUGUUUAAGUUAUCUAAACUAUCCUGUUUUUCUGAUCUGGCAGAAGUCUAACAAGUUUCCAACUCUGGAGUUUGACAUUCUGCAAGCAUGCUUGUGAAUUGUCCACAGCUGAAGAAAAUAAAGGCAGAAUGGCUUGUCCUGUCUACUUCCUUAAAGAAUGAGGUUGCACUCUCUGUGGCUCACUGAAAUUACUCAGCUUCAGUAAUCUGAAUGGCUUACCCUUGGAUCUAUAGAUUGCAUUAUUCUAUUUAAUAGAUGCUCUCAAAACAUUCAGAAAUGAGAAUGGUGGGGACAAGCUUUUCCCCUUGUGGUUGUCUCUUUCCUGCAGCUUACUGAAAGAGUUUGGAUGAAGUAUGGCUAGUCCUUGGCUUGCAACAGUUCGUUUAGUGACCGAGGUUACAGCGGCAUUGAAAAAAGAGAUUUAUGACCGUUUUUUUCACACUUAACAACCGUAGCAGCACUCCCAUGGUCACGUGAUCAGAAUUCAGAUGCCCGGCAACUGACUCAUAUUUAUGACGGUUGCAGUGUCCUGGGGUUAUACGAUGUUCUCUUUUGUGAUCUCCCGACAAGCAAAGUCAAUGGGGAAGCCUGGUUCACUUAAUAACCCUGUUUCUAACUUAACAACUUGCAGUGACCGAGUUAGCAACUGUGGCAAGAAAGGUUGUAAGAUGGGGCAAAACUCACUUAAUUGUCUCACUUAGCGACAGAAACUUUGGGCUCAAUUGUGGUCGUACGUCGAGGACUACCUGUAUAUGAAAAGCAUUAUGAAUCAGUAAGGACUGGACAAGCCUGAUUGUGUCAUUGCAUGCCAUCAACAGAUUCCCGUGAAGAAAAUCACUUGGAGUUGGAUGCGAUAGACGUGCAUAGCAUAUGAAUCAAAUGUACCCAAUUAAAUUGAACGUAACUGUCUGAAA